UACAGAGGGUGCAAGCGUUAAUCGGAAUUACUGGGCGUAAAGCGUGCGUAGACGGUUAUGUAAGUCGGAUGUGAAAGCCCCGGGCUCAACCUGGGAAUUGCAUUCGAGACUGCAUGGCUAGGGUGCGGAAGAGGGAAGCGGAAUUUCCGGUGUAGCGGUGAAAUGCGUAGAUAUCGGAAGGAACAUCAGUGGCGAAAGCGGCUUUCUGGUCCAGCACCGACGUUCAGGCACGAAAGCGUGGGGAGCAAACAGG
rnacentral:rRNA from 1 species